GUGAGGAAUAUUGCGCAAUGGAGGCAACUCUGACGCAGCCAUGCCGCGUGCAGGAAGAAGGCGCUACGCGUUGUAAACUGCUUUUAACCGGGAAGAAACCCCAGGACGUGUCCUGGGUUGACGGUACCGGAGGAAUAAGCACCGGCUAACUUCGUGCCAGCAGCCGCGGUAAUACGAAGGGUGCAAGCGUUAUCCGGAUUCAUUGGGUUUAAAGGGUGCGUAGGCGGAGCGUUAAGUCAGUGGUGAAAUCCUGCAGCUUAACUGUAGACUUGCCAUUGAUACUGGCGCUCUUGAGUGCGCUUGAAGUGGGCGGAAUGUGCCGUGUAGCGGUGAAAUGCUUAGAUAUGGCACAGAACAACAAUUGCGAAGGCAGCUCACUAAGGCGAUACUGACGCUGAGGCACGAAAGCGUGGGGAUCGAACAGGAUUAGAAACCCCGGUAGUCC
rnacentral:rRNA from 1 species